rnacentral:rRNA from 1 species
UCUGGUUGAUCCUGCCAGUAGUCAUAUGCUUGUCUCAAAGAUUAAGCCAUGCAUGUCUAAGUAUAAAUAGUAUACAGUGAAACUGCGAAUGGCUCAUUAAAACAGUUAUAGUUUAUUUGAUAAUUGACAAUUACAUGGAUAACCGUGGUAAUUCUAGAGCUAAUACAUGCUUAAACGCCCGACUUUAUGGAAGGGUGGUAUUUAUUAGACUGAAGCCAAUAUUCCUUGUGUCUAUUGCGGUGAUUCAUAAUAACUGAUCGAAUCUCUUUUUGAGAUAAAUCACUCAAGUUUCUGCCCUAUCAGCUUUCGAUGGUAGUGUAUUGGACUACCAUGGCAGUAACGGGUAACGAAGAAUUAGGGUUCGAUUUCGGAGAGGGAGCAUGAGAAACGGCUACCACAUCUAAGGAAGGCAGCAGGCGCGUAAAUUACCCAAUCCUGACUCAGGGAGGUAGUGACAAGAAAUAGCAAACCGGGAACCUCAUGGUUUCACGGUAUUGCAAUGAGAACAAUUUAAAACCCUUAGCGAGAAUCAAGUGGAGGACAAGUCUGGUGCCAGCACCCGCGGUAAUUCCAGCUCCACUAGCGUAUAUUAAAGUUGUUGCAGUUAAAAGCUCGUAGUUGAACCUCUGUCUGGGGCUAGUUUUGGCUUUGGUCAGGCUAGUUCUAGGCAUCCGCCUACAAGACUUAGAGGGCAUUCAGUUGUUCACUAGGAGGAGUAGGCAUUUUACUUUGAAAAAAUUAGAGUGUUUAAGGCAGGCAAUCGCCCGCAUAUAUUAGCAUGGAAUAAUAGAAUAGGACACUUUUCCAUUUCGUUGGUUAUUGGAAUCGUGUAAUGAUUAAUAGGGACAGUUGUGGGCAUUUGUAUUUAAUUGUCAGAGGUGAAAUUCUUGGAUUUAUUAAAGACAAACUAACGCGAAAGCAUUUGCCAAGGAUGUUUUCAUUAAUCAAGAACGAAAGUUAGGGGAUCAAAGACGAUCAGAUACCGUCCUAGUCUUAACUAUAAACUAUUCCGACUCAAUGUUUGACUGGCUUAUAUAACCAGUUGAGCGUUGUAUGAGAAAUCAAAGUCUUUAGGUUCUGGGGGGAGUAUGGUUGCAAAGCUGAAACUUAAAGGAAUUGACGGAAGAGCACAACCAGGAGUGGAUUCUGCGGCUUAAUUUGACUCAACACGGGGAAACUUACCAGGUUAAAACAAUAGUGGGAUUGACAGUUUGAGAGCGCUUUCUUGAUUGGUUGGGUGGUGGUGCAUGGCCGUUCUUAGUUGGUGGAGUGAUUUGUCUGCUUAAUUGCGUUAACGAACGAGACCUUAACCUGCUUACUAGACUGGCC